AGCAAUGAAUCACUCCCUUUCUGGUUUGAGGUUUGAAUUAAACAAACGGAUCCCAGUAAACAAAUCCUCUUCUAAUAUUGGUACCAUGGAAAAAAAAAAGUUUGAGAU